GAUGAACGCUAGCGGCAGGCUUAACACAUGCAAGUCGAGGGGCAGCGCGAUGUAGCAAUACAUUGGCGGCGACCGGCGCACGGGUGCGUAACACGUAUGGAACUUACCCUUUACUGGGAGAUAGCCCGGAGAAAUCCGGAUUAAUAUCCCAUAAUAAACGAAGUGGCAUCACUUUGUUUGAAAGCUCCGGCGGUAAAGGAUGGCCAUGCGCACGAUUAGCUAGUAGGUGAGGUAACGGCUCACCUAGGCUACGAUCGUUAGGGGGCCUGAGAGGGUUAUCCCCCACACUGGUACUGAGACACGGACCAGACUCCUACGGGAGGCAGCAGUGAGGAAUAUUGCGCAAUGGAGGCAACUUCUGACGCACGCCAUCGCGCGUCGCGAGGAAGGAAGGACGGACGUACGUACGUUACGUUAACG
rnacentral:rRNA from 1 species